UCUGUUUGAUCCUGGCGGAGGCCACUGCUAUCGGAGUUCGAUUAAGCCAUGCGAGUCGAGGGGUGUAAGACCUCGGCAUACUGCUCAGUAACACGUGGACAACCUACCCUGAAGAGGGGGAUAACCCCGGGAAACUGGGGAUAAUACCCCAUAGACUAUGGAUGCUGGAAUGCUUUGUAGUUGAAAGGUCCGCCGCUUCAGGAUGGGUCUGCGGCCGAUUAGGUUGUUGUUGGGGUAACGGCCCAACAAGCCUGUAAUCGGUACGGGUUGUGGGAGCAAGAGCCCGGAGAUGGAUUCUGAGACACGAAUCCAGGCCCUACGGGGCGCAGCAGGCGCGAAAACUUUACAAUGCGAGAAAUCGAGAUAAGGGAACUCCGAGUGCCCGUAAAAUCGGGCUGUCCGCCAGUGUAAAUAACUGGUGAAGAAAGGGCCGGGCAAGACCGGUGCCAGCCGCCGCGGUAAUACCGGCGGCUCGAGUGGUGGCCACUAUUACUGGGCUUAAAGCGUUCGUAGCUGGUCUGUUAAGUCUCUGGGGAAAUUUUCCGGCUUAACCGGAAGGCGUCUCAGGGAUACUGGCAGACUAGGGACCGGAAGAGGUGAGAGGUACUCCAGGGGUAGGAGUGAAAUCCUGUAAUCCUUGGGGGACCACCUGUGGCGAAGGCGUCUCACCAGGACGGCUCCGACAGUGAGGAACGAAAGCUGGGGGAGCAAACCGGAUUAGAUACCCGGGUAGUCCCAGCUGUAAACGAUGCGCGUUAGGUGUAUCGGUGACCACGAGUCACCGAGGUGCCGAAGAGAAAUCGUGAAACGCGCCGCCUGGGAAGUACGGUCGCAAGGCUGAAACUUAAAGGAAUUGGCGGGGGAGCACCACAACGGGUGGAGCCUGCGGUUUAAUCGGACUCAACGCCGGGAAACUCACCGGACAAGACAGCUGAAUGAUAGUCGGGCUGAAGACUCUACUUGACUAGCUGAGAGGAGGUGCAUGGCCGUCGUCAGUUCGUACUGUGAAGCAUCCUGUUAAGUCAGGCAACGAGCGAGACCCA
rnacentral:rRNA from 1 species